rnacentral:rRNA from 1 species
UACGUAGGGGGCUAGCGUUGUCCGGAAUCAUUGGGCGUAAAGAGCGUGUAGGCGGCCCGGUAAGUCCGCUGUAAAAGUCAAAGGCUCAACCUUUGAAUGUCAGUGGAUACUGCCGGGCUAGAGUCCGGAAGAGGCGAGUGGAACUCCUGGUGUAGCGGUGAAAUGCGCAGAUAUCAGGAAGAACACCUAUGGCGAAGGCAGCUCUCUGGGACGGUACUGACGCUGAGACGCGAAAGCGUGGGGAGCGAACAGG